rnacentral:rRNA from 1 species
UGGGGAAUUUUGGACAAUGGGGAAACCCUGAUCCAGCCAUCCCGCGUGUGCGAUGAAGGCCUUCGGGUUGUAAAGCACUUUUGGCAGGAAAGAAACGUCGCGGGUUAAUACCCCGCGAAACUGACGGUACCUGCAGAAUAAGCACCGGCUAACUACGUGCCAGCAGCCGCGGUAAUACGUAGGGUGCAAGCGUUAAUCGGAAUUACUGGGCGUAAAGCGUGCGCAGGCGGUUCGGAAAGAAAGAUGUGAAAUCCCAGAGCUUAACUUUGGAACUGCAUUUUUAACUACCGGGCUAGAGUGUGUCAGAGGGAGGUGGAAUUCCGCGUGUAGCAGUGAAAUGCGUAGAUAUGCGGAGGAACACCGAUGGCGAAGGCAGCCUCCUGGGAUAACACUGACGCUCAUGCACGAAAGCGUGGGGAGCAAACAGGAUUAGAUACCCUGGUAGUCCACGCCCUAAACGAUGUCAACUAGCUGUUGGGGCCUUCGGGCCUUGGUAGCGCAGCUAACGCGUGAAGUUGACCGCCUGGGGAGUACGGUCGCAAGAUUAAAACUCAAAUAG